UCCCUCCAAACCAUACGCCAAUUAGGCAAUAGCCAAUCCACUGUUUGGCCUUCCACUGGAAUCAUGACCUUGGUUUUGCAAGUCCUGUUUUAUGUAAGCUUCCAGGCAUUCAGAGGGAGCUAGCUCUACAGAGCAGCACAAAGGAGGCUUGUGGCUGCUGCUAGAAGAGCACCAUUAGAGUCCCAGGAUUAUAGAAGAUCCAUGACAAAGAGUAUUUACAUUACAAGCAGCUCUACUCAGCUUUAAGUAAACUAGAUCACCUGCUUAUCUAUACCAUCAGCUCAAAGUUUCAAUCAUGUCAAAGAUAAUCCUCCUGGAACCCCAUCAAUGAACCGUGUAAACAAGUACUUCCACUCUAGCUGAUUGAGAUUCUUCUCUGCAUGAAGUGAAACUAGAUGACAGAGGAUGUGUCAUUGAUCAAGCUUCUGAAGCCAGAUUCAGGGAAGAUCCUUUGGCCCUCUCCCUGCAUUAACCAUUAACUGUUUUCUGCUUGAAUAAACAUCUUCCGCUUGCCUGAAUCCUGCCUGCCUCCUGAGUCUUUGCCCUGGAUCAGGAAAAACAUUCUUACAGAUUGGCGCUGUGAGCAGGGUGCCCUGCCUGAAGCUGGUACACCUCAGACCACAUUCUGGGGCUUUAGAGGACCCUCAUCUGUGUACACCAACAAACAGCAGGAACAGGAUCCACAACCCCAGGACAACAGCCAGAACUGAUUAAGGUCACAUGUAAGGUCACAUGACGCAGUUUAGUGGUAAAGACUGUAAAUAUGAACAUUGCUGACAUUAACAUGAACAUGAAAAUGCUAAUCCUCUGUUGGAUCCUCUUACUUUUGAUCCCAUCAGAGGCUGAUAGGUGAGUGGAGAAAAGGAAUUUGAAUAUUAGAAUGUUUUUGUAUUUAUCACAUGUUUAUGCUCAAGAGCAUAAUGUUUCCAGUUGCUGGGUCUGCAUCCAUGUCCCUGUGCACUCUAACUCUAACACAAUAUACCAAUGCGACCCAUCCCCUUUACUGCUACAGAAUUAACCAGAUGGGUAUUAAGACAGAAUAGCUCAAAACAGAGAGACAGAGACAGGCAUCCGACCAAUAAUGGAAAGUACAUAGUAACGACUGACCAAGAUAGGGCAUAAUGGAAAUCAGCAGGGUAUAAUCUGAACACCUUUACAGGAUGGUACCAACUCAAUUAAACUACCCCCAUGACCAACCCCCUUCAUCACAUUGACUAACGCAUCAGGGAUAGGGAGAAGCUCAGAGGAAGGGUCAUUGGACCUGAAACAUUAAUUCUGUUUUCUCCUUCACAGAUGCUGCCUGACCUGCUGGGCUUUUCCAGCAACUUUGUUUUUGUUCCUGAUUUACAGCAUCUACAAUUCUUUCAGUUUUUAUCUAAAGAUUACAAUGUCUAGCUAAUACCAUAAGAUCAUGGGAAGCUCGGCUGAUUGGGUGUUUGAAUUGAUGAUAACUACCUUGUAUUUGAUUACUGUAACACAAGAUGUAUAAAAAUGCUGUAUUUCUUUGUAAAAGCAGAGGGUGUGUCAUUGAUUUAUCUU